ACAACUUAAAAUCUGUCUAAUAUAAUUGAAACGAUGCAUAGAAGAUUAACAUAGUUCCUGCUCAAGAAUGACAUGCACAGAAAAGAAUCUAACCUCGAUAAU